AGUUAACUAUAGUGUAAAAUGUCAAACAACAGUCUCAAAUAUUGUGAUGGCCAUUAGUGUGAUUUUGUUCCUGCAAUUAUUUGCAAGGCUCUUAUACUACACCCUUAUGGCUAUCCUUGCUGCUAUCAUCCUCUAUGCACUUCCUGGAUUAAUCGAUGUAAAUGAGGCUCGCUAUAUCUGAAAGGUUGACAAGCUAGACUUUCUUGCCUGUAUUGGAGCUUUCGUUGGCGUCUUGUUUACAUUUGUAGAGAUUGGUCUUCUUGUAGCUGUGACAAUCUCAUUUGCAAAGAUACUAAUACAAUCAAUUCGACCUGGAGUAGAAAUUCUAGGUAGAGUUCCAAGAACAGAAGUCUUCUGUGAUGUAACUUAAUAUCUGAUGGUUGUAAGCACGCCUGGCAUCAUAGUGAUUCACAUAAGUUUCGGCUCACUCUGCUUUACAAAUGCCAAUUUUGUCAAAGAAAGGCAAGCACUUAACAAAUUAUCUAGAAAGUGGUUUAGUCAUAAUAACAGCUAUGUAUGAACUUUUUUCACUUAUUCCAGAAUACUUUUUUCACUUUUUAUAGCUGUAUUGCUAGAACUUAUACAUAUUUAUUUACAUCCAAAUUCUACUACCUACCCUGUAUGUGAGAAAGUGAAAGGUAAAAGAUGUGUAUAGUAUUCUCAAGUUUAUAGAGAUAUUUCUUGGAUACAAAUAUGCUACUAAUUUCAAUAGUAUCAUUUAUAAGCAUUUAUGUUGUCAA